CUGGGAUUAUCCUAUAUUGGAUUUAGUUCUGGUUGACCUAAUUAUCAUCAUAAGCAGCUCUACUCAACAUUUUAAGAUUCCACUUAACUUGAGGUAUGUUGCGUUUUAUUUUACACAAAAUAUAUACUUUAGCUUUUAAGAAUCCAUUAUGAUUUCAUCGAACAAACAACCACUAAUCGACUGCCGCCUAUUUAUAUUAGUAUAAGCCACUGCGAAUGCCACAAUAUUUGCAAAACCUAAAUAUCCAUCUUAGUAUAAGCAAUUUUAAAUAAAGAGUAACUAAAAUGAGGAAA